CGGCGGACGGGUGGAGUAAUGCCUAGGAAUCUGCCUGGUAGUGGGGGACGAACGUUUCGAAAGGAACGCUAAUACCGCAUACGUCCUACGGGAGAAAGCAGGGACCUUCGGGCCUUGCGCUAUCAGAUGAGCCUAGGUCGGAUUAGCUAGUUGGUGAGGUAAUGGCUCACCAAGGCGACGAUCCGUAACUGGUCUGAGAGGAUGAUCAGUCACACUGGAACUGAGACACGGUCCAGACUCCUACGGGAGGCAGCAGC
rnacentral:rRNA from 1 species